rnacentral:rRNA from 1 species
UACGAAGGGGGCUAGCGUUGUUCGGAAUUACUGGGCGUAAAGCGUACGUAGGCGGAUUGUUAAGUGAGGGGUGAAAUCCCGAGGCUCAACCUCGGAACUGCCUUUCAUACUGGCAAUCUUGAGUCCGGGAGAGGGAUGCGGAAUUCCAGGUGUAGCGGUGAAAUGCGUAGAUAUCUGGAGGAACACCGGUGGCGAAGGCGGCAUCCUGGACCGGCAUUGACGCUGAGGCGCGAAAGCCAGGGGAGCAAACGGG